rnacentral:rRNA from 1 species
UACGUAGGGUGCGAGCGUUGUCCGGAAUUAUUGGGCGUAAAGAGCUCGUAGGCGGUGUGUCGCGUCGGCCGUGAAAACCUGGGGCUUAACUCUGGGCGUGCGGUCGAUACGGGCAUCACUGGAGUUCGGCAGGGGAGACUGGAAUUCCUGGUGUAGCGGUGAAAUGCGCAGAUAUCAGGAAGAACACCCGUGGCGAAGGCGGCUCUCUGGGACGGUACUGACGCUGAGACGCGAAAGCGUGGGGAGCGAACAGG